rnacentral:rRNA from 1 species
UGGAGAAUCUUGCACAAUGGGGGAAACCCUGAUGCAGCAACGCCGCGUGAAGGAAGACGGCCCUUGGGUUGUAAACUUCUGUUCUAAGGGAAGAUAGUGACGGUACCUUAGGAGCAAGUCCCGGCUAACUACGUGCCAGCAGCCGCGGUAAUACGUAGGGGGCGAGCGUUAUCCGGAAUUAUUGGGCGUAAAGAGUACGUAGGUGGUUUCCUAAGCAUGGGGUUUAAGGCAACGGCUUAACCAUUGUUCGCCCCAUGAACUGGGUUACUUGAGUGCUGGAGGGGAAAGCGGAAUUCCUAGUGUAGCGGUGAAAUGCGUAGAUAUUAGGAGGAACACCGGUGGCGAAGGCGGCUUUCUGGACAGUAACUGACACUGAGGUACGAAAGUGUGGGGAGCAAACAGGA